rnacentral:misc_RNA from 1 species
GAUGAAGAACGUAGCGAAAUGCGAUACGUAAUGUGAAUUGCAGAAUUCAGUGAAUCAUCGAGUCUUUGAACGCACAUUGCGCCCCCUGGUAUUCCGGGGGGCAUGCCUGUCCGAGCGUCAUUGCUGCCCUCAAGCACGGCUUGUGUGUUGGGCCUCCGUCCUCCUCCCGGGGGACGGGCCCGAAAGGCAGCGGCGGCACCGCGUCCGGUCCUCGAGCGUAUGGGGCUUCGUCACCCGCUCUUGUAGGCCCGGCCGGCGCUUGCCGACACAUCAAUCUUUUUUCCAGGUUGACCUCGGAUCAGGUAGGGAUACCCGCUGAACUUAAGCAUAUCAAUAACGGAGA